GUAGGGAAUAUUGCACAAUGGAGGAAACUCUGAUGCAGCGACGCCGCGUGAGUGAUGAAGGCCUUCGGGUCGUAAAGCUCUGUCGCAGGGGAAUAACACAAUGAAGGUACCCUGUAAGAAAGGAUCGGCUAACUUCGUGCCAGCAGCCGCGGUAAGACGAGGGAUCCUAGCGUUGUUCGGAAUCAUUGGGCGUAAAGCGGAUGUAGGUGGCUAUGUAAGUCAGAUGUGAAAGCCUGGGGCUCAACCCCAGAAGUGCAUUUGAUACUGCGUAGCUUGAGUGUCGGAGAGGUUACUAGAAUUGUUGGUGUAGUGGUGAAAUACGUAGAUAUCAACAGGAAUACCGGAGGCGAAGGCGGGUAACUGGCCGAACACUGACACUGAGGUGCGAAAGCGUGGGGAGCAAACAGGAUUAGAUACCCCGGUAGUCC
rnacentral:rRNA from 1 species